rnacentral:rRNA from 1 species
UGAGGAAUAUUGGUCAAUGGGCGAGAGCCUGAACCAGCCAAGUCGCGUGCAGGAAGAAUGUCCUAUGGAUUGUAAACUGCUUUUGCAGGGGAAUAAAGUGAGCCACGUGUGGUUUUCUGUAUGUACUCUGCGAAUAAGGAUCGGCUAACUCCGUGCCAGCAGCCGCGGUAAUACGGAGGAUCCGAGCGUUAUCCGGAUUUAUUGGGUUUAAACGGCGCGUAGGCGGGAUAAUAAGUCAGUGGUGAAAGUUUGCAGCUUAACUGGAAAAUUGCCGUUGAAACUGUUAUUCUUGAGAGUAGAUAAGGUAGGCGGAAUGUGUUGUGUAGCGGUGAAAUGCAUAGAUAUAACACAGAACCCCGAUUGCGAAGGCAGCUUACCGGGCCACAUCUGACGCUGAUGCACGAAAGCGUGGGGAUCAAACA